rnacentral:rRNA from 1 species
GACGAACGCUGGCGGUGUGCUUAACACAUGCAAGUCGAACGGUAAGGCCCUUUCGGGGGUCCACGAGUGGCGAACGGGUGCGUAACACGUGAGUAACCUGCCCUCAUCUCUGGUAUAACAGUCGGAAACGGUUGCUAAUACUGGAUAUGAGCGUGCGCGGCAUCUUGUGGGUUGGAAGGAUUUUUUUUGGUUGGGGAUGGACUCGCGGCCUAUCCGCUUUUUUGUGAGGUAGUGGCUACCCAAGGCUUCGACGGGUAGCCGGCCUGAGAGGGCGACCGGCCACAUUGGGACUGAGAUACGGCCCAAACUCCUACGGGGGGCAGCAGUGGGGAAUAUUGCACAAUGGACGGAAGUCUGAUGCAGCAACGCCGCGUGCGGGAUGAUGGCAUUCGGGUUGUAAACCGCUUUCAAUUGUGACGAAGCGUUUUUGUGACGGUAGCAGUAGAAGAAGCACCGGCUAACUACGUG